rnacentral:rRNA from 1 species
AUUGAACGCUGGCGGCAUGCUUUACACAUGCAAGUCGAACGGCAGCGCGGGCUUCGGCCUGGCGGCGAGUGGCGAACGGGUGAGUAAUGCAUCGGAACGUGCCCAGUAGUGGGGGAUAGCCCGGCGAAGGCCGGAUUAAUACCGCAUACGACCUGAGGGUGAAAGCGGGGGACCGAAAGGCCUCGCGCUAUUGGAGCGGCCGAUGUCGGAUUAGCUAGUUGGUGGGGUAAAGGCUUACCAAGGCGACGAUCCGUAGCUGGUCUGAGAGGACGACCAGCCACACUGGGACUGAGACACGGCCCAGACUCCUACGGGAGGCAGCAGUGGGGAAUUUUGGACAAUGGGGGCAACCCUGAUCCAGCCAUGCCGCGUGCGGGAAGAAGGCCCUCGGGUUGUAAACCGCUUUUGUUCGGGAAGAAAUCCUCUGGGCUAAUACCCCGGGGGGAUGACGGUACCGGAAGAAUAAGCACCGGCUAACUACGUG